rnacentral:rRNA from 1 species
GUCUACAGCCAUACUACCUGAACGUGCCUGAUAUUGUCUGAUCUCUGGAAGCUGAGCAGGGUUGGGCCUGGUUAGUACUUGGAUGGGAGAACUUACUCCUUCCAGCUCACUGUAUGUG